rnacentral:rRNA from 1 species
UGAGGAAUCUUAGACAAUGGGGGCAACCCUGAUCUAGCCAUGCCGCGUGAGUGAUGAAGGCCUUAGGGUUGUAAAGCUCUUUCAGCUGGGAAGAUAAUGACGGUACCAGCAGAAGAAGCCCCGGCUAACUCCGUGCCAGCAGCCGCGGUAAUACGGAGGGGGCUAGCGUUGUUCGGAAUUACUGGGCGUAAAGCGCACGUAGGCGGACCAGAAAGUUGGGGGUGAAAUCCCGGGGCUCAACCUCGGAACUGCCUUCAAAACUAUUGGUCUUGAGUUCGAGAGAGGUGAGUGGAAUUCCGAGUGUAGAGGUGAAAUUCGUAGAUAUUCGGAGGAACACCAGUGGCGAAGGCGGCUCACUGGCUCGAUACUGACGCUGAGGUGCGAAAGCGUGGGGAGCAAA